CAAUAGCGUAUAUUAAAGUUGUUGCAGUUAAAAAGCUCGUAGUUGGGUCUGUGGUGUGCGGUGGGCUCCGGGCACUUGUUGUCUGAGUAGCUCGCCGCUGCCAUCCUUGGGUGGAACCUGUGUGGCAUUAGGUUGUCGUGCAGGGGAUGCCCAUCGUUUACUGUGAAAAAAUUAGAGUGUUCAAAGCAGGCUUAUGCCGUUGAAUAUAUUAGCAUGGAAUAAUGAGAUAGGACUUUUUCGCUAUUUUGUUGGUUUGCGCGAAGAGGUAAUGAUUAAUAGGGACAGUUGGGGGUAUUCGUAUUCCAUUGUCAGAGGUGAAAUUCUUGGAUUUUUGGAAGACGAACUACUGCGAAAGCAUUUACCAAGGAUGUUUUCAUUAA
rnacentral:rRNA from 1 species